AUGGUGAGGGGUAAGAUUGUGAUUAGGAGGAUUGAGGACAUGAGCAGCAGGCAGGUCACAUUCUCCAAGCGGCGGCAUGGGCUGCUGAAGAAGACACGUGAGCUGGCCAUCCUCUGCAAUGUCCAGGUCGGCGUCAUCAUCUUCUCCCUUACUGGUCGCAUCUACGCAUAUGCCAGCUCCACCACCACCACCACCACCACCACCCCACUACCACCAUGGGCAUGCCUUCCAUCAUCCAUAAGUACCAAUCUGCACAGGAGCACCAGCAUCAACUACUGA
rnacentral:rRNA from 1 species